UACGUAGGGGGCAAGCGUUGUCCGGAAUCAUUGGGCGUAAAGAGCGCGUAGGCGGUCCGGUAAGUCCGCUCUGAAAGUCCGGGGCUCAACCCCGGGAGGCGGGCGGAUACUGUCGGGCUAGAGUCCGGAAGAGGCGAGUGGAAUUCCUGGUGUAGCGGUGAAAUGCGCAGAUAUCGGGAAGAACACCCGUGGCGAAGGCGGUUCUCUGGGACGGUACUGACGCUGAGACGCGAAAGCGUGGGGAGCGAACAGG
rnacentral:rRNA from 1 species